GCGCCCGUAGCUCAGCCGGAUAGAGCGCCGGACUUCGAAUCCGUAGGCCGCAGGUUCGAAUCCUGCCGGGCGCG
rnacentral:tRNA from 1 species